GCCCAUGCAGCUCGAGAGGACGAGCACCCGCUUCGUACACGGGAGGCUCCGGUUCGAUCCCGGACGUGGGCU
rnacentral:tRNA from 1 species